rnacentral:rRNA from 1 species
CUCAGGAUGAACGCUGGCGGCGUGCCUAAUACAUGCAAGUCGAACGCUUCACUUCGGUGAAGAGUGGCGAACGGGUGAGUAAUACAUAAGUAACCUGGCAUCUACAGGGGGAUAACUGAUGGAAACGUCAGCUAAGACCGCAUAGGUGUAGAGAUCGCAUGAACUCUAUAUGAAAAGUGCUACGGGACUGGUAGAUGAUGGACUUAUGGCGCAUUAGCUGGUUGGUAGGGUAACGGCCUACCAAGGCGACGAUGCGUAGCCGACCUGAGAGGGUGACCGGCCACACUGGGACUGAGACACGGCCCAGACUCCUACGGGAGGCAGCAGUAGGGAAUUUUCGGCAAUGGGGGAAACCCUGACCGAGCAACGCCGCGUGAAGGAAGAAGUAAUUCGUUAUGUAAACUUCUGUCAUAGAGGAAGAACGGUGGAUAUAGGGAAUGAUAUCCAAGUGACGGUACUCUAUAAGAAAGCCACGGCUAACUACGUGCCAGCAGCCGCGGUAAUACGUAGGUGGCGAGCGUUAUCCGGAAUUAUUGGGCGUAAAGAGGGAGCAGGCGGCACUAAGGGUCUGUGGUGAAAGAUCGAAGCUUAACUUCGGUAAGCCAUGGAAACCGUAGAGCUAGAGUGUGUGAGAGGAUCGUGGAAUUCCAUGUGUAGCGGUGAAAUGCGUAGAUAUAUGGAGGAACACCAGUGGCGAAGGCGACGAUCUGGCGCAUAACUGACGCUCAGUCCCGAAAGCGUGGGGAGCAAAUAGGAUUAGAUACCCUAGUAGUCCACGCCGUAAACGAUGAGUACUAAGUGUUGGGGGUCAAACCUCAGUGCUGCAGUUAACGCAAUAAGUACUCCGCCUGAGU